rnacentral:rRNA from 1 species
GCAGAACGCGAAGAACCUUACCUGGGCUCGAACGGCGGACGACGUCUCUUAGAAAUAGGAGAGUUUCCUUCGGGAACGGCCGUCGAGGUGCUGCAUGGCUGUCGUCAGCUCGUGUCGUGAGAUGUUGGGUUAAGUCCCGCAACGAGCGCAACCCUUGUCCUGUGUUGCUAAUCUUCGGAUGCACUCUCAGGAGACCGCCAGCGACAAGCUGGAGGAAGGUGGGGAUGAUGUCAAGUCAGCAUGGCCUUUAUGUCCAGGGCUACACACGUGCUACAAUGGGCAGGACAGACCGUUGCAAACCCGCGAGGGGGAGCUAAUCGGAGAAACCUGUUCUCAGUUCGGAUUGCAGGCUGCAACUCGCCUGCAUGAAGCUGGAAUCGCUAGUAAUGGCAGAUCAGCAUGCUGCCGUGAAUACGUUCCCGGGUCUUGUACACACCG